UACAGAGGUCUCAAGCGUUGUUCGGAUUCAUUGGGCGUAAAGGGUGCGUAGGCGGCGCGGUAAGUCGGGUGUGAAAUCUUGGAGCUUAACUCCGAAACUGCAUUCGAUACUGCCGUGCUUGAGGACUGGAGAGGAGACUGGAAUUUACGGUGUAGCGGUGAAAUGCGUAGAUAUCGUAAGGAAGACCAGUGGCGAAGGCGGGUCUCUGGACAGUUCCUGACACUGAGACGAAGGCCAGGGGAGCAAACGGG
rnacentral:rRNA from 1 species